CCACCACCACUCAGAUCACCAAGACGGUGAAAGGAGGCAUCUCAGAGACUCGCAUUGAGAAGAGGAUUGUGAUAACUGGAGACACAGAGAUUGAUCACGACAAGGCUCUGGCCCAGGCCAUCAAGGAGGCGAAGGAGCAGCACCCGGACAUGUCUGUGACCAAAGUGGUGGUGCAUCCAGGAAACAGGGAUCACCCCAGAUUAACCCCAGGCUCACCUCUCCUAUAACCAGCUGGGGGCCAAAACUACCACGGCGCCUGAGGAAGGUGAACUCACACACAUCCCCCGCCCGUCCUGACCUUCUCUGCUUGUUUCACCGCCAUUCCUGCUUGACUUACUCUCAGAGACCCCCACCCCCACCUUGGGAACAGACACCAGACACACACACCACACCAGACUGGAACCGGUCCAACCUGCCAGAGAGAACAAGCUUCACUUUUCAACUAUGAACUUUGAACCUCCCAACCAAUGGGAGUUCAACUGAAGGAAAAGGGAACAAACAGAACUCUCCAAAAACUCAGAAUUCCCUAUGACUACCCACAAUCCCUCUCUCUCUCUCUCUCUCUCUCUC